GACGAACGCUGGCGGCGUGCUUAACACAUGCAAGUCGAACGGAAAGGCCCUGCUUUUGUGGGGUGCUCGAGUGGCGAACGGGUGAGUAACACGUGAGUAACCUGCCCUUGACUUUGGGAUAACUUCAGGAAACUGGGGCUAAUACCGGAUAGGAGCUCCUGCUGCAUGGUGGGGGUUGGAAAGUUUCGGCGGUUGGGGAUGGACUCGGGGCUUAUCAGCUUGUUGGUGGGGUAGUGGCUUACCAAGGCUUUGACGGGUAGCCGGCCUGAGAGGGUGACCGGCCACAUUGGGACUGAGAUACGGCCCAGACUCCUACGGGAGGCAGCAGUGGGGAAUAUUGCACAAUGGGCGGAAGCCUGAUGCAGCAACGCUGCGUGCGGGAUGACGGCCUUCGGGUUGUAAACCGCUUUCGCCUGUGACGAAGCGUGAGUGACGGUAAUGGGUAAAGAAGCACCGGCUAACUACGUG
rnacentral:rRNA from 1 species